CCUACGGGGGGCAGCAGUGGGGAAUAUUGGGCAAUGGGCGCAAGCCUGACCCAGCAACGCCGCGUGAAGGAAGAAGGCUUUCGGGUUGUAAACUUCUUUUGUCAGGGACGAAGCAAGUGACGGUACCUGACGAAUAAGCCACGGCUACCUACGUGCCAGCAGCCGCGGUAAUACGUAGGUGGCAAGCGUUAUCCGGAUUUACUGGGUGUAAAGGGCGUGUAGGCGGGGAAGCAAGUCAGAUGUGAAAACCACGGGCUCAACCUGGGGCCUGCAUUUGAAACUGUUUUUCUUGAGUACUGGAGAGGAAGACGGAAUGCCUAGUGUAGCGGUGAAAUGCGUAGAUAUUAGGAGGAACACCAGUGGCGAAGGCGGUCUGCUGGACAGCAACUGACGCUGAGGCGCGAAAGCGUGGGGAGCAAACAGGAUUAGAUACCCCGGUAGUC
rnacentral:rRNA from 1 species